UUACACCAAACAUUUGGGGGGGCACACGAAAAAAUGCUUUUGACUAAUAUUACAGCCUCGUUAAUAUAUUGCAAACUAUUUCUGCAGGAGCGGCAUCAAAGUUUUAUCUGCUAAAUAAAUAUUGCCAGGCUGAGCUAAUACACGGAGUAGGUCUGGAAAAGUUACCACCAUGAAGCAGGCACGGUGUCCAGCUGGAGAACUCUACUGUUCAACUGCACAAUGAUCAACACUGGAGCCACAGCAGGUGGCUGCUGGGUCACUGUGGUCAGUGGGAUUGGAAGAGAUCCAUCAUCUGCCUCCUGGAUGGUCUGCCAGCCCUGGUGUGCGGUGAGUUCCAGGGAAGGCAAAUCUGAAAGGAAGCCCUUGAGCACUCUGCUGUGCGAGCUUCUCGGAUGAUGGCUGUGUUUCUCCCCCUUGUUCCGCCCGCCUUCAAAUAAUUUUCAUGCUGGGAAUAAAUCUGAGUGCAAAACAAUCACGUUCAGCACAUGAUAACCAGACACAAUUGUGAGUACACCAGCAGCCACAUGGAAAACAAAUGAGCUGAUGGAAGGACAGAAAGAACACGAGACAACAACCCACACACCACAGUUACCAAGUUCAUGAUUCCACCUCCUCUGAAGGCUAUGGGACUCUUGCAGAGAUGGUUUCCAGUUGUCCUGUCUUUCUACUUUUAGCCUUUGGCUCCGUGGGGUUAAAGAGGAAAUAUUCUAACUGGCUGAGAUCCCGGUCAAGCCUCCCCCAGAGAAUUUUGCCAGCGCGUAGGAGCGCUGAAGAGAUGCAAUGAAGAUUGCAGAAGAGGAAGGGCCAAACGCAGUCGCGAUUCUCCUGCUGGAGCCGCAGCUCGGGGAGCGAGCGGCUGAGGGCAGGGCGGUUCGAUACCUCUGGUGGUGCGCUGGGAUCGCUGUGCCCGGGCUGGGACAGUGCCACAGGGCUGCUGAGAGGGAGCUCAGCUCGCCCAAGCGCCCUUGGGGAGGGCUCUGAGUGGAGGAUGCCUUGCGCUGGCACCUGCCUUUUGGCUAAACCCUGGUGGCACGGGGGAUGUCCCUGCUGUGGUGUUUCUGCCGGGGUUUUUGAGCGCAUCUUUAGUGUGCUGAUGAUGGAUGUCCAGGUUGCUUGAAGCAAUAUCUCACGGGAACCAGGCUGCGCACCUGAGAGAGCAGAAUAUUCUUCACAAAUGUUUUCCUGAAUUUCCCCACGCUGUGAACAGCAAGCGUGUUUCUUCUUGGGACACGUCUAUUUUUUUCUGUGACCCACGGCAUUCUGUGGCCUCGAAGGUCUCAGAAAACUACUUUUUGUCCCAGGAGGACUGCAGACAGCUUUCCUGUGAGAUUUCUUGAAGCCUCCUGUACUCCUUGCCUUGAAUAAUCUCCCCAGUGCCAUGGUCAGGAGCACAACAUCUUAGGUGCUUCAGACUUAACAUCACAGUCAUGGGCUCAACAUAUUCCAAAGGUGGGCAAAGAGCAAAUGGACUGAUUGGUAUCCAGUACCUUAUUGCAGCUGUAAACUGCAAAUUUCCUUGGCUUUCUGAUCCCUGCAUCCGCUGAUAGUUAACAAAAAGUGGAAAUUCAGGUAUCAGCACUGAAAAAUGAAGGCUGAUGGGGUGAAAUAGCACAUAUCCAAGCAUGUAUGCUACAGACCAGAGGAACCCUAUGUGGCUAUUCCCAAAAAUGCUGCCAAAUCUGAGUCUGAGACGCCCCUCAGUAAGGGAACUGCUUUGACAAUGCACUGUGUAUUUGAGCUGCCCCUCCAAAAUAGGAAACUCUAGUUAAAUACAUGGCAAUAUGUAAUAUUAAAAAAAAAAAAAAAAAAAAAAAAAAACCCUCCCUAAAAAUUACCAAACCUAUACUUGGGAGUGUCUCUGAUUCUGGCUGUAUCCUUCUGCACACUCUUUGCCUUGGCUCUGGCAGUCACCUGGCUCCUUGGUACACUGCUCCACUCCCUUAAUCCAGCAUAAGGGGAGGUGAAAUUUUGGGUUUUGUUUACUUUGUGCUGGGUUAGCAAGCUGCCUUGUCUCCAAGAGGGGCCAGGAGAGGACAGGUGAGCUGCAUGAGCAAGGGGGGCUGCGUGGACUGGAAGAAGAUGCAGUAAAGGGUUAGAUUUGCUCAGCCAACUUUCUGGGUUGAUUUCUUGGUGCACGGCAGGAAAGGGCCCAGGGGCCAGGUGCAGUGUGUGGGGCUGAGGGCACUGCAGGAGAAUUGCAGCAGUGCUUCUGGCGGUGAGUAGAAGCUUUCCCACUGGGGGUUACGUUCACCCAUUUGCUACUCUGCUUUCAAAAGCAUGCUGCAAGUGCUAGGAUAAAACCUCCAACCCAGCUGUCUCUCAGCUACCAAAAUAUCUCCUUUGCCCCUUGGCCAGCUGUCAAAACUUUCCUGGCCUUCCUAGAGCAAGCGUCUUAGGGAAUGUUUCCUUUGGCUGAUGGGAACUGGGGGGGAUGCUCUGGAGAUGACUAGAGGACAGCACGCUCAAUGCCAGGUGCCUCUCCUAACCCUAAGCCAGCUCCAGAACAGCUUGUCCAUCCCCUCAGUAAUGCUCUCUCUGCUCGGUGUGCUCUGGAGGGUGAGGCUGUGGCUUGAGGAAGAAAGUGCUCCAGAAUAAAAAAUCGUGCAACUCAAGAGCCGAGAAAAAAAAAGCCUUAAUUAUUCAACUAGUUCGGAACACUUGAAAGUAUCCCUAAAAAUAGGUGAAAGGGAUGUUUGUCAGCUACAAAGAGAUUAUCCUGCAGUAGUAUUGCUUGUCUUAUUUUGUGAUGAUGCUACAGAAUACGGUCCCUCAGGUAACCUCAUUAAUGUUUAUAAACGAACCCCUUGUUUUACACUUUCGGUUUGAGAAGGCAGAAAUAGGGCAAGAGGCUAGAAAGACUGAUUUUACCAUAUGUGCUUUGAAAAACCCAAGGACACGGCUGUAAGGUCUCUAUAAGCAUGUGAUGUACCUGGGCCAACAACUGGAUUAUUGGGCGCUUGCUAGGCUGCCUGAGAUGUACCCUAAGGGGGAAAUCCAGGCAGGACUUUGGCUAAAAUCCGGGGUGAAAUUCUGCAUGCUUCCCAGUGGAUCUGUCAGCAGGAGGCUGUAGCUCCUCCGUGUGUCACCAGUCGUUUUGUUUUGAUCUCUUUUCGGGCAAAGGCAACCUGUGGCCAUAUGUUGUUACAGCCAUCAGCGUUUCCACAGGGCAGUAUCUGGAAAACCCUGCUGCCUGACGGCGCCUCAGCCCAGGGUGGAGGCUUCUUUUCACUAUCUGUUCCUUAAAGAGGGCAACUGCUCCUUCUGGCUAUCAUAGCAGGGUGGCAGUUACCAACAGCCCCUAACAGAAUGGGGGGGUUUCUGAGCCUUGCCGCCCCAGCCUUAAAAAUAACAGCUCUUUUCUCCGAGCCAACCAACAAUUGUGGUCAGCCACGAAUACCAGCUUAACCAUUUGGCAGCUGCCCUAUAGGGAACGGCUCUUCCCAGAGAGCAGAGGAGCCCUAGAGCCGCUCUGGGCUCGUUUCAGUCAGCAGGGCACACUUAACAGAUUUCCUCGCAUUGCAACCAGCCUCUUCAACAACAAGCAAAUCCCGGAAAGUCAACACCAAACAAAUCGCAGAAGCGCGUAAGAACUAGUAAUUCAAGCGGAUCCUUUAUUUGAUGAACGAGCGGUAAAACCCCGUCCCCUCCCCUCGCCGACACGCAGU